AGAGCUCUGUUUGUAAAAACUCUGGUAAAGUUUUCAUGUCACACUUCAACUGCCACUGAGGAACUGUAUCAGGGGACAGAUAGAAAUUGACCACUUGGGCCAGUGCCUGGCCACUUUCAGAUAAGCUUUGAACAAGGAAGAAAGAAAGGGAAAAUGCAGGAAGAAAAAUAAAAGAAGCGAAGAUUUUAAACACUAGUUGGCUUUUGAAGAGAAUAAAUAUUUACUUUGAAGAAAAGAUUUAUGAGGACUUAAAACAUCUUACUUAACUAGCUACAAAUAGCUCCUCCCUGGACUUUAUGUAGGGAGUAGAAAUCAUUCUCACCAAAAGAGUAAGGAAAUGUUGAAUCAAAGUUUCCUUUUCAGUCAUCUUUCCCAGACAGGAAGCUGUUAUCUGUCUUCUUUUAAAAGUGCUGCUUAUACCCUUGCAACUUAAAUUUAGCUCUGAGGCAGCCUCUCCUUUCUCCCUGUGGGGUACAAAUGGUGCUAAAUGGCAGACAGAUGUUAAACAAAGAUACCUUCCCACACAGCUUCCUUUGACUCUUUAAGUAAACUCCAAUCUCUAUUUUUUAAGAAAAUUGCAAGAUAAGCCUGUCAGAGGCCUCUGAAAUUAACAUAAUUCAGACCUCCUGCCAGUGUCCUAAAUCCUAAAAUAGUGAAUUUCCAAUGGUCUGCUAGCAAGCUGCAAGGCUUUCAAAGCAAAGCCAGCAUUCCAAGAUUGGACUAAACCCCCAAUGCUAACCUUAGCAUUGGGAACUUGAAGGCAGAGGAACCAAGAUAAAUGCCUCCUUGUAUAACUUGUAAAACCAUACAUUGAAAAGCUGGAGUCCUCCUGGUCUCUACUGUUAGAGAUUGCUAACCACAACAAAAUAAUAUCUUCACAUAUUUAUUGAGCUGCCCUAGGAACUUUACCUUCCAUGCCUCAUUUAAUCUUUACAACAAUCCUGUCAAAUGCUCAUUUACAGCUUCCAUUUCGAUGGACAACUCAAGCAGAGAGAAGUUAAGUAACAAGCCCAAGGUCACACAGCUAGCAGCUAGGCAGAAUUCAAUCCAAAGUCAACAUACAGUGCUUUUAAAGAAGAUUAAAUACACAAGAUGCUAAAAGAAAGAGGACACUUUCUUUCUUCUGAAGUGGCUGAAUGGUGUUCCCCUAAAAGACAUGUCCAUGUUCUAACUCCUGGAUUCAAUGAAUGUGACUUCUUUUAAAAGUGUCAUUUGGAAAAAGGGUCAUUUCAGAUAUAAUUAAUUGAAGGAUCUCAGGAUGAGAAUAUCCUGGACUAUGUGGCUUGGCCCUAAAUUCAAUGACACGUGUGCCUGUAAGACAAAGGCAGAAAAAGAUCUGACUUUGACAGAAAAGAAGACAGAGACACAGAGGAGAUGACCACGUAAAGACAGAGGCAGGAAUUGGAGUGAUGCUGACACAAGCUAAAGAGGCCUGGAGCCACCAGGAGGUGGAAAAGAACAAGGAAGCCUUCUCCCCUAGAGCCAUCAGAGGGAGCAUGGCUGCACUGACACCUUGAUCUUCUGGUUUCCAGGACUGUAUGACAAUAAAUUUCUAUUUUCAGCCACUGAA